rnacentral:rRNA from 1 species
CGAGUGGCGAACGGGUGAGUAACACGUGGGUGAUCUGCCCUGCACUCUGGGAUAAGCCUGGGAAACUGGGUCUAAUACCGGAUAGGACCAUGCUUUAGUGUGUGUGGUGGAAAGUUUUUCGGUGUAGGAUGAGCCCGCGGCCUAUCAGCUUGUUGGUGGGGUAAUGGCCUACCAAGGCGGUGACGGGUAGCCGGACUGAGAGGUUGGUCGGCCACAUUGGGACUGAGAUACGGCCCAG